CUACGAAGGUGGCAAGCGUUGUUCGGAAUAACUGGGCGUAAAGCGCACGUAGGCGGAAUGUUAAGUUAGAGGUGAAAUCCCAGGGCUCAACCCUGGAACGGCCUUUAAUACUGGCAAUCUAGAGACCGAGAGAGGUGAGUGGAAUUCCGAGUGUAGAGGUGAAAUUCGUAGAUAUUCGGAGGAACACCAGUGGCGAAGGCGGCUCACUGGCUCGGUACUGACGCUGAGGUGCGAAAGCGUGGGGAGCAAACCGGAUUAGAUACCCGAGUAGUCC
rnacentral:rRNA from 1 species